rnacentral:rRNA from 1 species
UACGAAGGGGGCUAGCGUUGCUCGGAAUCACUGGGCGUAAAGGGUGCGUAGGCGGGUCUUUAAGUCAGGGGUGAAAUCCUGGAGCUCAACUCCAGAACUGCCUUUGAUACUGAAGAUCUUGAGUUCGGGAGAGGUGAGUGGAACUGCGAGUGUAGAGGUGAAAUUCGUAGAUAUUCGCAAGAACACCAGUGGCGAAGGCGGCUA